AAUCCAUGGUGAGGGUAUCUUCUCAUCAAAUCCUUAUACCUCUCUUAAGCCUCAUAUAAUGAUUCAGAAUCUAAUUGCAUGAAAGAAGUGAUAUCAUUUCGUAU
rnacentral:snoRNA from 1 species